AUCGAACGCUGGCGGCAGGCCUAACACAUGCAAGUCGAACGAGUGGCGGACGGGUGAGUAAUGUCUGGGAAACUGCCUGAUGGAGGGGGAUAACUACUGGAAACGGUAGCUAAUACCGCAUACCAUCGGAUGUGCCCAGAUGGGAUUAGCUAGUAGGUGGGGUAAAGGCUCACCGAGGCGACGAUCCCUAGCUGGUCUGAGAGGAUGACCGUCCACAAGGGAACUGGUGCACGGUCCAGACUCCGACGGGAGGCAGCAGUGGGGAAUAUUGCACAAUGGGCGCAUGCCUGAUGCAGCCAUGCCGCGUGUAUGAAGAGGGCCUGCGGGUUGUAAAGUACUUGCAGCGGGGAGGCGUUACCCGCAGAAGAAGCACCGGCUAACUCCGUGCCAGCAGCCGCGGUAAUAC
rnacentral:rRNA from 1 species